GAAGUGUGAAAAUUUUGAAUUGAGAUCAACGGUUUAUUCAUUAGAUAUUGAGGUUUAAAUCUGUCAUAGGAAUUACUAGGAUUUGGAUUAGAGUUUGGUUAGGGUUUGAUUUAGGAUUUGGAUUAGGAUUUGGUUAGGGUUUGAUUUAAGGUUUGGUUUAGGAUUUAGGAUUUGGAUUAGCAUUUAGGAUUGGAUUAGUGUUUGGAUUAGGAUUUAGGAUUUGGUUAGGAUUUGAUUUAGGAUUUGGUUUAGGAUUUAGGAUUUAGAUUAGUGUUUAGGAUUGGAUUAGGAUUUAGAUUAGGGUUUAGGAUUUGUUUAGGGUUUGAUUUAGGGUUUAGAUUAGGAUUUGGACUAGAGUUUAGGGUUUGGUUAGGGUUUGAUUUAGGGUUUGGAUUAGGGUUUGGUUAGGAUUUGAUUUAAGGUUUGAUUUAGGGUUUAGGAUUGGAUUAGGGUUUGGUUUAGAGUUUGAUUUAGGAUUUGGUUUAGGAUUUAGGGUUUGGAAUAGGGUUUAAUUCAAGAUUUAUUUAGGAUUUGACUUUGGGUUUAGAAAUUAUUAAGGUUUAAGAUUUAAUUAGGUUUGGUCUAAAGUUGAGUGAAAUUCAAUAAGGUUUGUUUCUGUAAGAUAUUGGUUAAAUAGACUAAUAGUCCAUAGAAUAGUCAGUUUAGGAGGAUAGAUGGUUAACUUAGUUAUUAAAAGUGGUUAAUUACAUGAUUACGAUUAGAAUCUGGGAAUAGAGAGUAAGUAUAUAGGAGUUGUAGAAGUUAGUCUGAGUGCCAAACUAUGAUAGUCAUGAGUUGGGAUUAAGCUUGGUACUACAUCUUUGUUUCUUUAUUUUUUUUUUUUGUUGAAGAGUAAUAGAUGGUUUCUGAAUACUAAAAAGUGAGUCUGUAGAAUAAAUCAGAGAUUGAUUUAUGAGUUAUUGAUUAUGUAAUUGGAGCAGUGAGUGAUUGAAUUAUAUGAAGAGUUAUUAGAAGAUAAUGAUUGUUGUUUAUUGAAAGUUGUGUGUGUUUCGACAAAAAAAGUUGGUGAUUACAAAAAUUAUGUGAAUUCAGAUUGGUUAGAUUGAAGUUGGCUAUUUUUGGUAUUGGAUGGAAAUUAUGUAUUAUGAAUCCCAUAGUUGAUCUUGGCUACUAAAAAAUUUCUUAAAUAAAAAGCUAUUAGAUGAAUUUUAUCAUCUAUUUUUAUUUGUGAUAAUACAACAUCCAAAGCAAAGUUUGAUGCAUCUAUUUCUAUAAAAAAAAAUAGCUUAAAAAAGUCAAUGUAAUAUGAGAUUGAUACAAAAAUAAAGAUUGUCUUUAAAACUUCAAAUCUGCUUCUACUUCAUGAUUCCAUUGAAGUUUGUUUUUAUAAGUCAAACGUGUAACUAGAGCUGCAAUUGUGGAUUUGUUUUAAGAAUGGCUCCAUUAUCUAGAAGGCACUUCUAAUCAGUCAUUGUUUACACUAACUACAAGAAUCUUAAAUAAUUUAAGUUAACACAUAUUUUAAAUAGUUGCAAAGUUUGUUGAAGCAUAUUUUUCUUAAGAUUUGAUUUUAAGAUCACUUAUCGACUCAAAAAAUAAUAGGGGUUGUAAAAUGCCUUUUUUAGAUAUUUUUAUCUUACACCAAAAAAAAGAGACAUAUCUUUUGAUCAAUAAAGAAUGAUUCAAUUUGUAUUAAGAUUUUGAAGAACUCUUUUCAAGUUUUUAAAAGAGGAUAAUAAGUUAUCUUUGGCUUUUUAUCCUUAAAUUGAUGGAAAAAUAGAACAUUGUCAUAUUACAUGUUGCCUUCUUUGGAAAUGCAUUGGAUAUCUGGUUGUAAAAGGUGAGGUUGUAUUUUACAAGUAUUCAAGAAUCAUAAUAUGUUUCAUUCUUAUAAGAAGAAUAUACUUUGAAUUUUCAAUCAAAGUACUUAAAUCCAAUACAAAGUACUCAAAAAUACUCUUUUGAGUAAUCUCAAUCAUACAUAAACUCUAAUUAUCUUAUUACUUUCAUAAUUAUAUAAUUUUGAUUUUUCUUUACAAGCCUUAAUCAUAAUCAAAAUACUUUAGUUAGCUUUAGCUUCUAAUUUAAUUUUCUACUUUGAAAAAUAAAUUGCAUACGAAUGCCACUAUAAGUCUUUUAUGUAAAUAAGAGAAUUUACCUCAAUCCAAUUUAGAAAUCGUGAAAAAAUGCCCAAAAAACCACAUUGAAGUUACUUGGCUGUUAACUUGAAAGUUGAUAUAAAUGUUUUAGUAGUGAUUUUUCUUUCUUCAAUUAUUAACUUCAAGUCAAAAUUGGUGUAUAGCUUCAUCUUUAAGUCUUCUAAUACCAUGCCAAAUUUUAGUUUGAUCCAAUUAGUAAAUCUAUAGAUAUUAUAGAAAUCCUAUCUAACCCCAAACUGCCAACUUCUAAUACCUUCUUGUACCAAAAUCCAGAUAUCUAUCAACUCCAUUAUUAGAUUAUUACAAAAUUUCAUAUCCACUUUGCACACCUAACUAUCCAAACACUAUCAAAUUUUGAAUUAUAGAUGUGACACCAAUUACACAAACUAGCCAAGAAUACUAAUCCUAAUUGUAUUGCAUAAAUCCCAAAUUAUCAUACAAAUCUUAACUUUGAACAAAAAUUUUCAAGUCAUUCUAAAUCCUUUGAAAAAAAGCCUUAUAUCUUUAAAAUCAACUUAAAGCUAGCUCUGAAAUCCUAAUUGCUGAUCUUUAGAUGCUUUAUUUUUCCUUUGGCAAUCGUUUUAGUGGCUAUAGAUCUGAUUUUGUCCCCAUUUCACAAAUGGUCAACCUCCGGAUAUCAAUUGAAUCUAUCUUGGGGAUUUUUUAGCCCAAUCCUACUCUCAAUUUAAUCUUAGUAUCAACCAUCCUAAUUAUUUAUCUCUUUUAAUUUAAUUUUAUCAAUUUAUGGUCUUUUUAAGAUAGUAAAAUAGUCUCUAUAGUCUAAAAGGUAAAAUUAUUAACCAAUCUUUAAUCUACUAUCUAUUAAGAUAAGAAAUGAAAUAAGAGGCUUUUAUAAAAGCCAUGUUUAAAUAUCUUGAAUUAUUAUUAAACUAAGAUAAUUAGAUAUUAAUUAGAAAUUUAUUUUUGAUUAUAUUUUCACUAUAUACUUGUAUUACAAUACAACAUCCACUCCUUCUAAAUUUGCGCAUCCUCCGAUAUGCAUCAAAUGAACUAUGUGUCAUAAUUGGCAUAACACAAUCAUUUCAUUUUUUGUAUCAAAUCCUUCAUUAUUAUUUUUACUAUUUAUUUCAAAACCAUUAUCUUCUUCAAUAAUAUUGAUAUUUUCAACAUAAUCUUCUACAUUGAUUUUUCUAUCUUGUCUUUUGAAAAUAUUUACUCACUUCUCAAUAACAUGUAUCUUCAACCUCAUACUAUCCAACUCCCUUGAUGAAUAUGUGGCAUUAUGAUGAACCAUUACUACCAUGUAUGAUCUAAACUAAUAUUUUGAAAACUUCUCCAUAUCAUUAUAUUGGUUAUAUAGAUUGCUAUCAUAAAUAAGUAUCUAAUUAUUUUCUUCAAUUGCUCUAGGUCUCAAUCAAUGUUGCUUAUGAAAUCAAGUCUUACUUCCUAACCUUGCUUUUUGUAAUUUUUCUAAUGUUAGUUCUGUAUCUUCCAAUCUUUGUUUAAGUUGUCAAAUUCUAAUAGCGAAUAAUUCCUCCCUUAUCAAUCCAUCUUUCCAUAGUAGCAUACUCCAAGUUGGCACAUGUUCUUCAAUUGGCUUAAUUGAUUUUUAACUUGUCAUAAAUUCUACCAACAUAUAUCUUAUCACUGAACUAUGUAUUAUUUGAUCAGUCCAUAAUGUAUAAGGUAGAAGUCGAGUCUAUUCUCUCACUCUUCCAUUGCAAGCUUUAAUCAAGGUUUUUAUAAUUGGUGGAUGUCUACAUUCCCUCUUUGCAUUCCCCUCUAGAUUAUAAGUAGUGGUCAAUGAUACUUUAAUUCUACAUCUCUUAAAGAAUUCAUGAGCUUCAUGUACAUUUAAUUGUCCAUAAUAUGCAGUGAUCUUUCCUAUACAUCUAUAGUGGCAGAUAACUUUCUUAAGUAAAAACCUACAAAUUUACUCUAUGGACUUUGUUCUUAGUGCCCUGCCUUCUACUUGGUUUGAUAAAUCUUCAUGAGCCACAACUAAAUAUUUCAUUUGCCAUAGUUUCAUUAGCAUAAUAACCAAAUCCAUGAGCCAUUUAAAAUGAAUAGCCAAAGCAUAUAUUAGAUAUAAAUCAUCUCAAUGUACUAUAUUUGAAUUCAUCUAACAAGAUAUAUAAGAUUCUAUAAAUGAAACUACAUCUUGAUAUAUAUUCUUCUAUUAAUAUUUUUCAUUCAAUUUAGCAAAAAUAGCCCAAAUUUUUCUAUGCUCCACCUAUAGACUAUCAUAAAAUUCCUUGAAUAGUCUUUGUUAAUCUUUUUUGAUAUCUACUACUUAUUAUGGCAUUUCAAUAUUUGAUUUUUGUCUCUUCUAUAGAAAUCCUCCUUGUAAUAUAAACCUAUAUGUUUUAUUUCUUGAUUUGUUUAAAUUUUUCAAUCAACCAAUUAGUAUGCUUGAUUAAUGUACUAAAAUAAUGUCUAAUAUCUAAUAACUCUUCUUCAUAAUCUAUUUCAUGAAAUGACUUACCUUUCUUAUUUAAUUGUGUAACAAAAUAAAAUUUUGUACCCAUAUCAUCAAUAUCCUUAAUUAUCUCAUCUUCUCUAUCAUAUAUUGUUUAAGAUAAUAUAUCUUCUACCAAAUUGUCUUUUCCUGCAACAUGCCUAAAUUUUGGAUUUAAUUACUAUAUAUAAGCAAUCUAUCUCAACAUUACAAUAACUGAUGUUAUAUAAUUAAUAAUCAUUCUAAGUAAAGGCAAGCAAUCUAUUUCAAUUACCACCAUUAUUCCAAUAAAAUCAUCUUUUUUAGCUUUCAUAGCUGAAACAACUUCCUAUAAUUCUCUUUUCACCUGAGAAUAUGCAUGUUGGCGAGUACUUAAAACCUUAGUUUCAAAUUGUACUACAAAUCUGUAUCCAUUUGAAUCAUUUUAAUCAUCUAAUAGCAAUCGGACUAGUAUUCACAAUAAGAAUCACAAUUCUAUUGUACUCAUAAUCAAUUUUUCUCAACAUUGGAGGUGAUGUUAAUAAUUUUUUAAAACUUUGCACUACUUUAAUAUGCUUUUUUUUCCAUUUAAAUCAAUAGUCCUUGCAUAAUAGUUUAUACAAUGGAUCAGAUAUAUAAGUAUAGUAAAAAAUCCAAAUACAAUAAAAUACACAUGCAUCUAAAAACCUACAAACCUUUAUUAAAGAAUUGCAAUAUUUUUUUAGUCUCUCAAUUACAUCAAUCAUGGUUGGAUCUGAUUUUCUUCCAUAAAAUCCAAAUAAAUGUCCAAUAAUUACAACCUCUUAUACUCCAAAUGUAGAUUUUAUACUUGAUAAUGUAAGAUGGACUUCUUCAAGUCAAAUCAAUAUUUUUUUAUAAUCUUAUAUAUAAUCAGUAACAUACUUGUGACACCUCUUCUUAUAUAAAGUUUUUUUUUUUUUUUUUUUUUUAAUACUCUUUAAUAGGAACAACAUCUAAAAAAGGCAUAGUCUUUUCAAGAAUAAAAUCCCUCAAUACCUUGUUCAUCUCGUUUAUCAUAUAAGCAACUGAGUUAAUUGUGCCUUGAGGAAGAGUACACAUUCUAAUUAGCUUAAGUGGUGUUUUCAUCAUUCUCAUAUCUCUACUCUCUUUUAUAAGUUGAAAUUAGUCAUAGUCCAAAUACAAAUCACCCAUUGAAUAGAUUGCCUUUCCUUCAAAUACUUCAGUAAAUUCAUCUACUAUUCAUCUAAUUCCUACAUUUUUGAUAGUUACUGCAUUUAUUGGCUGCAUAUCUUGAAUAAAUUGUAAUGAUCCAUUUUUCUUAGGCAUUGUAAAUCAGUGACUAAAAUAUGGUACAAAAAAGGGCUCCAAAAUUUUUAUCUUCAUCUUUUCUUUCAAUAAUUCCAUGAAGCUUAGAAAAUGUGUCCUUGGUACUGGAAUUGGUCUCAAAUUCUAAGGUACAUGCGGUAUAGUAAAAAUAACCAUAUAUUGUUGAAGCAAGAGUUUGUUUUGGAUAGACACAAGGUCCUUCUUUGCAUUCAAGUUGGCUCUAAUAUGCACAAAACCUUCUUAGAUUCUCCUUUGUGUAUUUAGAAAACUAUAUUUGUAAUAAACCAAUAAACUUGAAGCUUGAAAAUUCAUAAUUCAAGAUCUAACCAUUCAAAUAAGCUUAAAAUUUGGAAGUAUAGAAUUUACAUCUUUUAUCAUUAAUAUACAAAUUUUAACCCUCUAUUUUAUUACUAAUCGUCUCAUAUCACCAAAUCCUUAAAAGAUAUUUUUGAAAGUCAAAACCAAAUUAAAAACUUAAAAAUUAAUAUCUCAAGAUCCAGCUAUUCAAAUAAGCUCAAAUUUUGGGAGUAAAAAACUUACACCUUUGAACAUUAUUAUAAAAAUUUUCAGCUUCAAAUUUAUUAUUGAUUGUUUGAUAUCACCAAAAUCGUAGCAAGUACCUUUGAAAGUCAAAACCCAAGAUACCUAAGAAAAAAUUUCGUCAUUUCUCCCAAGUCAGAGUCUCAAUUGAUAUGAGAUUUUAGACAUAGGCUUUUUAUAUCAUAAGUAACCUAUAUAAAAAAUAUGAGCUUUAAAUUUGUCUUAAAGUUCAAGUUCUAGCUUAAAACCAAAACCCUCUAUUUCUCUAAUUUCUUCAAAAUCCUAGUUUUAGUUUAUUGGUUUUAACUAGCUAUAUCUCAUUCAUUCUAGAAUCAAUUCUAUCAAUCUUUGAACAAAAAAUAUUUAGCUUAAAGUCUAGUUUUUAAUCUAAUUUCUUAAUUUCAUGUUAGUAUCUUAAAACUCCUAAUAUGCAUGGAAAAGUAAUAGUAGGUAUCAAAUUAGUAGCCUAAGUUUAAACAAGCAUAACUCUCUAAUUGGAGCUCCAAUUCAUGCAUUUUUUUACCUAAACUCAUACCAAGAAGUUCAUUUUUCUAAAACCCUCUUUUCAACUUGUAAAAAAAAACUCCUAUUUCUUGCUUUCGAGCUCGCCAAAGAAGUCACAACCAAGGUCUUUAAAGUCUAAGUCAAAAACUAAUAGUUUAAACUCAAAAUAAUACCAAAUCUAAUCCUCUAAGUCAACACUAUUAAUGGCAGCCAACUAUUGCUAUCCAAAUUUCUAUUUAUCUUUAAUAAAAACCUAAAUACAACUUCAAAGUCAAAGUUCUUCUUACAUCUACAAAUAUAACUCUAAAUCUACUAAAAUCGAAGAUUAAAAAGAAAGUAAAAGAAAUAAAAGAAGUUUUUAAGGCUAAACCAAAGAUAAAGUUAAAGCUAAAGAUAAAAUAAAAUUUAGAAAAAAUUUCAAAAAAAAAAAAGAAGAAAGUGAGAAAUAUUUUCUAAAGCUAUAAAAAAAUUAGAUUGAUAAGAAGAAAAAAAACUUAAUAAAAGAUCAAAGAAAAGUAAGUCAAUCAAGGUUUCUAUACAUGAAUGUAUUUACAUUACAAAUUCCAUCCUUUCCAAACCUGUAUAUCCUCUAGCAUGUGCCACCAUUUAUCGUUCAUUCUAUUCAUCUUUUUCUUCAAUCUCUUUAUCUUCUUGGCUCAAUUAUUUGUGAGAUACGUUUGUUUCAAAAUCUUUAGGUAGAUAACUUGUAUUUCUUGUUUGGAAAGCUUUUACUUAUUUUCUUGCUAUUAAAAUCUAAAUAGAUGUCCCAUUUAAUUCUUGAAGUGAGUAAGUUCCAUUAUCAUAUACAAUUACAAUAAUAUAUGGUCCGAACCAUCUCUUAGCAAACUUUCUUUGGAUGCUAUGUUGGUGGUCCAAAGUAUUGUCAUAAACCACUAUCUAAUCACCCUCCAAAUUUGGUUUCAAAUGCAAUUGGUAAGUUUGAUCAAAUCUUUCUUUGUUUUUCAAUCUUAUUGCUUUUAACUUCUUCAGUGCCAACCGGUGGUCUUUUGAUAGUCUCUCAAUUUAUUGGAUCCGUAGUUCUAAAAGUCUUUCACAAGAUGUGCCAACUUCUCAAGAUAAAAAUAAUCAUGUAGGCAUGGAUUCUUCUACUUGUAUAAUGGACUUCAAACCUAACAUUAGUUCAACUGACAUGUAUCCUCUUACCAUACUAUAGGUGGUUCUAUUGGCCCAUAAAGCAAAUGGUAAUAGCCUUGGCCAUUUCCUUGAAUUGACUUUAUAAAUUUUAAUUAAAGCAUGUAUGAUUGGUAGAUGGCCUCUUUCACUCUUUUCAUUUGCCUUUGGAUUAUAUGUAGUGAUUAAUUUUAGCUUCACUCCAUAUCUUUCAAAAAAGCUUCUAAUUUCAGCAGCAUCUAAUUUUCUUUUAUCAACCCUCAUACUUCCAAUAUAUCCAUAGUAAUUAAGAAUAUCUUGAAGAAUAAAUCGACAUAUUCUAGCUAUUUUUUUGGUUCUUAAAGCUUUACCUUCAACAUAAUUUGAUAGCUCUUUCCAUGCCAAAAUAAGAUAUUUCAUAUUCCAUAAUUCAACUAACAUAGCUACCAAAUCGAUUAUCCAUUGGAAGUGAAUAGAAAGAGAAUAGGUUAGAUGAAGUUCAUCAUGAAUGUUUGGAUUGGAAUUGGAAUUGGAAUUGGAUUCGGAAUUGGAUUUGGAAUUAGAAUUGGAUUUUGGAUUGGAAUUGGCAUUCAAGGUACGAUCCCAUAAAAUCUUCUACACCUUUAUAAAGAUCUUUCCAUCGAUGUUGUUCCUUGAUCUUCAUGUAUGUAGUCCAAAAUCUUCAGUGUCCAGUCUAAUAUGAAUCAUUGAAUUCCUUCAAAACUUGAGCUUUGGUGCAAGAAUCUCCAACUACUUGCAAUGAUAUGCCAUCUUUUUUUUUUGGUUUUUUUCAAAGAAGCCUAUCUCGUAGAAAAUAUCCAUAUGAAUAUUGCUUGAUUUUUUUAAAAACCUUAUUUCAACAAUCUUGCAAUUUUCUAAAGGUGCUCAAAUAAAGGCCAAUGUCUUUUAAUUUUUCCUCAUAUAAUUCAACCUCAAAAGAUGGAGCUUCUUCUAUUCUCUUACUACUUCAUAAAAAUACAUAAUCCAAAUCUUUAAUACAGCUAUCUUCAUUGUCUUCUUAAGUAAUUAUUUCUUCUCUAUUCAUAUACCUAGCUCUUGAUUGCAUAUCCGCUACUAUAUUUUUUUUGCAUUUAAUGUGAAUCAAACUAGAUUUUAAAAUCUAAUGUAGGCUAUCUAUCUUAGAAUAGCAAUGUCAAGAAUUGAUCAAUUAGAUUUCAUACUGAGCAAAAGUAAACAAUUAGUCUCUAAUAGCACAUUUUUUCCAAUCAAAUAAUUUUUUUCUCUUUGUAAUGCUAUGAUUAUACUCUACAACUCCCUUUUCACUUGUGGAUAUGUCCUCUAGCACUCUAUUAAAAUUCUUAUUCCAAAUCUAAUAGCAAAUCAAUUUUAUUGUCAUCAUUCUAUCCAAUAAUUCAAUUUAUAGCAAUAGGGCUAGUAUUCAUUGUUACUAUCACUAAUCUGUCACUAUCAUAAUUUACUUUUUUUAGAGGUGGUAGAAAUCUUAAAAUCUCUUUUAAAUCAUCCAUAGCCUUAUUUUGUUCCAUGUUCAAUAUAAAUUUAUUCUCUUUUUUCAAAAGUUUAUGUAAAGGCUUUGCUACAUGAGAAAAAUGGAGUAUCCAAAUUUGAUAAAAAAAUAUAUGCUCUAAGAAAUCUUCUCACCUCAAUGAUAUUGUUAGAAGAUUUUAUUUGUAAAAUGACAUCUAUUUUAUCUAGAUUUAACUUUUUUCUAUAUCUUUGAUAUAAAUGGCCUAUAAUUAUAAUUUCUUUAACUCCAAAUUUAGAUUUAUCAAUAGAUAGAAUUAAAUUUACCUCCUCCAAUCUCUUCAAAAUCCUCUCUACAUCCUUGAUAUAUUGUUUUAUAAAUGUUAUCCAUCCAUCCGCAUCUAUAGUCACAUCUUUUGUUUCUUCUCUACAAUCUUUGAUUGAAAUAAUGUCCACAAAUGGUAUAGUCUUUUUUAAUACAAAAUCUUUUAAAAUUCAAUUCAUUGCAUUCUACAUAUAUGCUAUUGAAUUGGUCGUACUUUGAGAUAAUGUAUACAUUUGAAUCAAAUCUAAAAGAGUCUUCAUUGUGGUUAAAUUCUUAUUCUCUAUUGCUAAUUGAAACUGAUUAUAGUCUAAGUACAAAUCUCCAAUUGAAUAAAUGGCAUAGCUUAUAAAAGCCUUAGCCACUUCAUCUACAAUAGGAUUGCAAUCCUUAUUUCUAAUAAUAAUUCUAUUAAUGAAUUGCAUAUAUUAAAUAAACCUUAAUGCCUAUAUUUUUUUUGGCACCAUGAAAUCAAUGAUUGGAAUAUGGCUCAAUAGACUCUUCAAGGAUUUCUAUUUCUAUUUUUUCCUUAAGCAGCUCAAUUAAUUUUGAGAGCUAAGCUCUCAAAUCUGGAAUGGAUUUUAAAUCCCACAGUGUAUGUAGAAUUGUAAAGAUCACCAUUUGUGCCACUAUGUUUGGAUGGACACAUCCUAUCGCAUUAGAUUUUGAUACAAAAGCCUUCCUAUAUUUAGAAAGUAUUAUAAAGCUAUAAUAUAUGGUUGCCCAAGUAUAAUUGAAUACAUACUUUGAACUUGCACAAAGAAAUUUUGGUCCACCUCCACAUUCUCUAUUUUUGUUUUAAUUACUAGGCAUGCACCUUAAAGAUCCCUUCUUUCAUUGUUUGCUACUCUCAAUACCCAUCCAUGGUUGGUAUCUAUAGGCCGUUUCUCUUUCUCAUAAACAACCUUUGAUAUUAUAUUAAUUUCAGAUCCAUGAUCUACAAGAGCAUGUAUUGUUUCAUAUAGAUUUUUAAGCUUAACUUGGAUUUUUGUUGUAGCUCUUGCCCAAUAUGGAUGAGCAUACCUUCUUCUUUUUUCACUUGUACUCUAUUCAUCUAUAGCUAAUAAAUAUGUGAAUACUCUUUCCUUGUCUUUUUUUUCUCAUUUUUUUUUUUCUACUAUGAAAUUAAUUUGUUCUUCAAUCUCACAAGCAACUUCAACUCCUCAUUUCUUAAUCCCUUCAUUUUUAAUAGCAAUUAUUUUUUAUAAUAUUUGAAGUUUAGGAAAAAAAUAUGGUUAGUACUUCCAUUUCCAAAUCUUUAUCUAGGCUUUGCUCUUGGAUAUCAUGAACAUCAUUUGUAUUCUUUUCAUUGAAAUCCUGUUUAGAUUUGGAAUCAUAUAUUGUGAAGAAUAAUUGAGCAAUCUCAUCACCCUCUUCUUUAGUUAUGUAAGUAUCAGUUGUAAUAGCCAUGAUUGUUUCAGUUGUCAUUUGACGUUGUCGGAGGAAAGAGAGCUUGCCUUGAGAAAGUGCUAGGCUUUUGGCUGACACUAAAUUCUCAAUUAAUCAUAAGAUGAAAAAUAUUUCAAGAUUAUUUAUAAUUUUAUUUUUAUUCCUUUUCAUAAUAUUAAAUAUAGUAGUAAUAAACAUCAAAUAUUAAGCUUCUAAUAAUAAUAAAAGUUGUAGCAAUAAAUAAUAAUUAUUGGACCUCCAAUAAUAAUAAAAGUUAUAGCAGUAAAUAAUAAUUACUAGACCUUCACUAAUAGUAAAAGUUAUAGUAGUAAAUAAUAAUUGCUAGACCUCCAAUAAUAGUAAAAUUAGUCAGUAAUUUCUAAAUCUUUCAUAAUUUCCAAAACCCUUUUUGUAGUAGUAAAAUCCUUAUAAUACCAAAAUUCCUUCAAUACCAAAUCCCUUUGAUGUAUUGAACUUUAAAAUUUGAUAAUUCUCAAUCCAACUAUUAGAUUGAGCUCACAUUAUUUGAGAAGUAAGGCGGUACCUUUAACUCUUUUAUAUCCAAUUUUAAACCGACUAUUCUGUACAAAACUCUAAAUAACACAAUUUCAGUAGCACUGCCUUUACAUGUUGACUUACAAACAUCUAUGUACUAUUUUUGCAGUUUCUUACAAACUCAACACUCAAAUGACAUGAAAUUUUUUUUGUGUAGCUUCUCAAUAUUACAACUACACCUUUGGUAAGUUUGAGCCAAAAUUCAUUCAAAAAUGCUCAAAAAAAAUGGUUCAAAAUAUAACCAUCAACAAUUCGGUUUACUUACUAUCUUAAUUUGCAAGCUCUGACUUCGACCAGCCAUUGCUUCCUCACUUUAGAUCUGAUUUUAUCAAAUCUUACACAAUAGUUGAAGUCCUUUAAGUCAGCUUUCCAACUCCACCUUUCGAUUGUUAAAUGCCUUUCUACAACUCUUUCUAAGCUUGAAAGAGUGACAAUAGGUACAAAUUUCACAUCUAGAGUUUAAACAGCCAUAACUCUCUCAUUGCAGACUCAAAGUUAACAACCCUUGCACAAAAAUUGUAUUCCUUCAAACUAGCUUUCCAACAACACCUUUCGUUUUCCAGAAAACCUUCUACAACUUUCUGUAUGCUUAAAAGAGUGAAAGUCCGUAAACAAUUCACACCUUAACUUCUUCAUACAAAACUCAAAUAACAAACUUUAUAUACCAAAAUUAUAGCCCUAAACACAAGCUUUUCGAAUCUCCCCUCUAAAUCCUAGAAUGCCCUCGAAAAAGUGGCCUCUCCUUUGGUUUUCUCUCGGACAGCCCCUUGAAGUUCAUUGGUCAUGACCUAUAGCCAAUGAGAGUGAAGAUCCUCUUAUCCUUGCCUUAUCUAUCCACAUAGAUGGCCGAAGGCCACAAUACUAUAAUAUCAAUAUCCAUAUCUUUCUACAUCUUUCAUAUUAAAUAACCCUAAUACUUCUACUUUUACUAAUAAAACUUAUACAAGUUAUUUAAGAUUUCUAUAAAUCAUGAAAUUCUAUAGAAAAUAACUCAUUAUUUUCUAAGGUCAUUAUUAAAUAAUAUCAAUAUAAUAACCAUUAUUUUUACACUUUGAAUAAAUUACAAUACAAAAAUAUUUUUUUUUAUUAUUAUAUCGAUUAUAAGUUCAUGGAAAUCUUUCUUUGCUAUCUCCAAGGCAUCUCUCAAUUUAAAUUCAAUCUUAGCAUCAAGAAUCCUCUCUUCCAAAAUUUCUUUUAUAUCUAUCAAUGUUUCUAUAUCAAAACAAAGCUUAUAAGCAAGGCCUUCGGUCUUAUCUUGUCAUGUUUUUUUUUUUUUUUUUUUCUUUUACUUGCUUCCAUUCUCUCCUUCCAUUUUUUUAGGCAAUGGUGCACCUUUGGGAUUUGAAGUUGAGGGUGUAGACUUUGAUGGAUGGUUAGUUGCUUAGAUAGAAUCAUCUUUCUUCUUCUCACUUUCAUUGCCUUCGUGAGUCUACCUUUUGGUAGUGGGCUCUCCAUCUUUUAUUUUGUUUGUAUUUCUUUCCUUCUUCACUUCUAACCAAACAUCUAGGUCAUCAUCAUUCUCUUUGUUUUUAUCCAAAAAAACUUCGAUGCUUAUAGCAUCAACCUGAUCAUUCCACCCAAUUUUCUAUUUAAUAGCUUGGGCUCUUUAUAUCAUAGCUUUACAUGUUGCAUUAAAUAGAAAUUUAAUAUUAUUUUUUUAUGCAAUAAUUUGAUAAGAAUCCACAUUAUUUGAAUCUUGAGACUUAGUUCUUUUUGUCCAAUCCUCCAUCAACUUCUUCAUUCCACUUUUACCAAAAUUAAUAUCUAAUAAAAAAUUUAUAGUUGUAUUCAUGAUUCUUCUUUCUUUAAAGAUGAUUUUUCCAUCUUUUAAAGCUCUAGCAUAUUAUAUGUAAUUAUUGCGGCUAUGAUUAGUGUCAUCACACCAAAUAUAUUUUAUUAUAUGAUUUUUUUGCCCUUUUAUUGGCUAUGAAGAACCACUUUUUUGAUCCUUCUUCAACUCACUCAUUUCUACCCUCAAUUCUUUUAUACCUUUGAUUAAUUCCUCAAAAGUACCUUCAUCCAUUGUUUUGUCUUUUAUAAUAACUAUAGAUGGAAUGGAUUGUAUUAGUGGUGUAUUUAAAAUCAAAGAAAUGAUUGGCUCUUUUGAGAUAUUUAUUGAAACGACUUUUGCAUAUAUUCUAAUUUCUCUAGAUCUCACCAUUUGUUAUUUGGCUAGUAAAAUGAUAGAUUCCUCCAUUCUUCUCUAAUCAAUGAUAAAACCACCUUUUACAUUCCUAUCUCCUAAAAGCAUUAGUAACUUGACUUCUAAAGCUUCAUCAACUACUUGUAAAAAUAGCUCAACUUUUAGACCAUCUAAGAACCUCCAAUUUGAUACUGAAAGUUGGCCAUACUACCUUUCAAAUACUUUGAGCAACUCAUUUGGUCCCAUCACCCUCCCUAGGCGUUGUUCCAUCCAAUCUAAAAAAAAUUGCUUAGUCAUCCUAUUGGUAUCUUUGUCAAAAAACUCAUCUCUCAUUCGUUCUUCAAGCUUCACUCAUUUGAUUAGAGCAAUAGUUGUUCUUAUAUGCUUUACUCGAUCUCAAAUCUUUGAUAUCAUAGCCAAAUCAAAAGUCUCCAAUAUUCUAACUUGUCGAACUUGAUGGAUAUCUAUUUCACAAAUAUAGGUUUUAAGAAAUUUGGUGACAUCUCUACUAUCAAAUCAGUGUCGUAUUGUAAUAUAACCAUAUGGUGAAAGAUAAUAAUAUGGAUCUAAUUAUAGAAGAUCCAAGUUAAAAGAAAAAAUAAAAAAAUAUGGAUAAAAGAUAGGAAGGUAAUAAAACUUUUAGUAGUAAUGUUGCCCUUUUAGAAAAAAUAGCUUCUACUUACUUUGUAGGGCCAAAAAUAAGGAAAAAUAAGAUAGAUUGGAAAAAUAAAUGAUAAAAACAUCUUUAGAAGGAAGUUAAGAGUAAAUUCUAGCAAAAAUUAUCUAAAAAAAUUAGAUAUUGAUAUCCAAAGAGGGCCGGUUAUCAACCUAGGUCGAAAUCUGAUCCUAAGGCACAAAACCGAGUACCUAUGGUAACUCGGAGGUUCUUUUGCAAAUCAAAGAGUGGAGUUUGAUAGAAAAUUGGAUAAGGUUUAUAUGAGCAUUGGUUUUAGGCAAUUUAGAUUUGUUAUAACUUUGUAAGAGCUUUACAAAGUUAAGUUUUUUUUUGGAUGACUUGGAUUUUGUGAAAUAAUAUAGGGUUGAUAUUUCUACUGAUUUCAAGAGUUUUGUAAUAGAUCUAUAGGUGAAAUUUUGUAAAUUAAUGGUUAUAGUUGUAAUUAAUAUGUUUUGUGAAUCUUAGCUUGAUCUACUAAUUGAAUUGAGGAUUAUUAAGGUUUAAGUUGGUCAAGGUCUCAAAAAAUAGAAUUUUAGGUCUAGUGAGGGUUUUUAAGAUUUCUUACAAUCUAUUAAUUAGAUUGGAGUGAAAUUUAUGUGUAAGAAUAUAAGACUUAUUUUUUCUAUGAAAUCAAUCGAAUGGUGAAAAAAAGAGAUAUUGGCUUUGAGAAAUUGACAUCAAGGUUCGAAGAGGAGGCCGGCCAAUAUCCAAGCACAUUUUUGAGGCUAUCAUCUAUUUGGUAAUUUCGAUCCUUUUCAAAAAAAAUUGUGCUUAUUUUCAACUUAAUUAUUAAGAAGAAUGAAAAUUUUGAGUUAAGAUCAAUGGUUCAUUCAUUAGUAAUUGAGGUUUAAAUCUAUUUUAGGAAUUUAGAGUUUGAUUUAGGAUUAGGAUUUGGUUAGGGUUUGAUUUAGGAUUAGGAUUUAGUUUAGGAUUUAAAAUUUGAUUAGGAUUUGAUUUAGGAUUAUGAUUUGAUUAGGAUUUGGUUAGGAUUUGGUUUAGGAUUUAGAAUUUGGUUAGGAUUUGAUUUAGAGUUAGGAUUUGGUUAGGAUUUGGUUUAGGAUUUAGGGUUUGGUUUAGGAUUGGUUAAGAUUUGAUUUAGGAUUUAGAGUUUGGUUUAGGAUUUAAGGUUUGGUUAGAAUUUGAUCAAUAUUUGAUUUAGGAUUUAGGAUUUAUUUGAGUUUGUUUAGGAUUUAAGAUUUAGUUAAUUUUUGGCCUAAAGUUUGAAUGAAGUCUAAUAGGAUUUUAACUAAGAUUAAAUUUAGAUUGAAUUUAGAUGUAUUUGAGAUAUAUUUGUGAUCAUUUUAAUAUUUCUUUAAGUUUUUUUUAUUAUUUCUUUGUAAUUCCUUUGAAGUUUCUUUGAAUUUGAUUAAAACUUACUUAGCAUUGUUAUGGUCUUAUUAGAGUUUAGUUAGUAUUCUAUUAGAAUUAGGAUUUUGUUGUUGCAAUUUUUAUUCUACCUUCUA
rnacentral:lncRNA from 1 species